AUCUUGAGUUGACCCCAUCCCAUUCUUGUCUUGUGGUAUCUCCAUCCUGUGAUGCCUCAGCAGAAAGGCCCUAGCCAUGUGCCAGCACCUGGAUAUUAGACUUCUAAGCCUCAAGAGCUCAGAGAAAAUUGAAUUUCUUUAGAGAUUACCCAGUCUAUGACAAUCUGUCUAAAUAACACAAAACCAUAUGAAGGCACCUGUCCACAUGAGAACAAGAUCAGUCUGACAGAGGACCAGGGGAGGGGACACUGCCACAGAUUCCUGUACCACUGGCACAGCUGUCUCUCAAAUGCAUCCCAAUUGUAAGAGAUCUACUGUCUCAGAGCUGCCAUUACUUAGAACCCCAUGACCCCUGCCUGAGGGGCUCAGGUUUCCCUUUAGCAACAGGUGUGUGCAAAGCUGGCAGAUAGUUUAUGGCGUCUCAAUAUCACAGCUGCAGCUGCUAGUGUAUAAAUAAACUGGAGACUACUGGAGGCAUUGUGUUUUCUCAGACCCACAAAGUGAAAAUGUCCAUAAUGUUUAGCUUUUUACAAAAGAGUGCAAAUGGCUGCAAAGGACGUUAGUGACUUAAAUAAUACAUUUACAAAAGAAUAAUUUGGGAGACUAUGAGAGGAGGGAUUAACUAAUUUUACAACAUGCUACUAUAGAUUAAAUCCUAACAAUCAAUUUAAUUAUCCUUUCUUGAUCUUCUCAGCCCCGUCAACUUUGAAAGAUGGAACACCCAGAAAUAACAAUCAUUAAAAGGAGAAGAAAGGAAUGAUGGAAGAAAAAUUAUCAACAAUGGUGACAACAUCCUGGAUACUCCUGAGAAGAGAAACUGCCAAGUACAGAGACAUCGAAAAGGAUUUCCCACAGGAACAUUUGGAAGAAUUUUAGUACAAGUGCCCAGGCAGAAAGACACACUUACUUAUACUCACACUCAUACACGCACACUUGCACUCUCUCUCACACACACACACACAUCUACUCACACAUUCACUUAUGCACACAAUACUAAUUCACACAUAUUAGCACACUUACAGGUACAUAUACAUAUUCAGACAUGUACACAAUCAUAUUCACAUAGGCACACACACAUAGGAACACACCUAGAAUCAUUGAUACAUACGUAUAAGCACACACUCUGAGAAAUACACACUCUCACUUACACAUACAGCAACACACACUCACACACAUACACUCAUGCAUUCAUUCUCCCAAAUGCAUACACUUAAAUAUACACAUAAACUGAAACACACAAUGACCCAUACAUGUUCUCCAUGUCUUAAAAUGAUAAUUGUUCUACUGUGUAUAAUAUCAAGCAGACUGUGAGCAGAAUUUUAGGCCGUGCUAAUUACUAGCAUAAAGGAAAGAUUCUGAGAGAAGAGAAUGUGUGUUCAGUAGAUUCUUGAUCUGUGACACAGAGGAGGAGAUGAUCAGUCAUUUUUAUCCGAAACCCAGCUAAUGUUUCCCCGCCGUUUUUUCAUGGAGGUGUUACCUGAAGAAGGCUACAGCUAUCCACAGACUUCAACGCAGACAAAGGUGUCACAGCUGAAGAAGGUACCAUACAGGGAGGAAGAACCACAUGAGGAAACAGGAGCCCUAUAAGCUUACACUUGUGUUUUAUUCCUUGUUGCUUAUGCUCGAGACAAAAUACCUACCAGAAGUCAUCUCCAAAGAAGAAGGUGGGUGUAUGAGUGAAGCAGAGUGCCAUCAGUGAGCCCUGCGUCCUCUCCAGGAAACAGAAAUUAGCAUAAGGCCAUCUAAUAUGGAAAUUAAUAUCCCACGAUCUCUUACUCUGUGUACCUCAAGAACUGCAUAGACACAUGCAGCGUUAUUUUCUUUUUUAUUGAGGCAACUAAUAUUAAAAUAAAAAUAGAAUUAAUAAUUUAUUAGCCA
ensembl:lncRNA